rnacentral:rRNA from 1 species
GCGCAACCCUCGCUGUGUGUUACAAGUGGUCACACGGGAACUGCCCGGUCAUAAACCGGAGGAAGGUGGGGAUGACGUCAAGUCAGCAUGGCCUUUAUAUCCUGGGCUACACACACGCUACAAUGGGAAGGGACAAUAGGUUGCGAAGCCGCGAGGCGGAGCCAAUCCAGCAAAACUUCCCUCAGUUCAGAUUGCAGGCUGCAACUCGCCUGCAUGAAGUUGGAGUUGCUAGUAAACGCAGGGUCAGCCAUACUGCGUUGAAUACGUUCCCGGGGCUU